ACGGGAGGCAGCAGUGGGGAAUAUUGCACAAUGGGGGAAACCCUGAUGCAGCGACGCCGCGUGAGUGAAGAAGUAUUUCGGUAUGUAAAGCUCUAUCAGCAGGGAAGAUAAUGACGGUACCUGACUAAGAAGCACCGGCUAAAUACGUGCCAGCAGCCGCGGUAAUACGUAUGGUGCAAGCGUUAUCCGGAUUUACUGGGUGUAAAGGGAGCGUAGACGGCAUGGCAAGUCUGAAGUGAAAGCCUGGGGCUCAACCCCGGAACUGCUUUGGAAACUGUUAAGCUAGAGUGCAGGAGAGGUAAGUGGAAUUCCUAGUGUAGCGGUGAAAUGCGUAGAUAUUAGGAGGAACACCAGUGGCGAAGGCGGCUUACUGGACGAUAACUGACGUUGAGGCUCGAAAGCGUGGGGAGCAAACAGGAUUAGAUACCCUGGUA
rnacentral:rRNA from 1 species